rnacentral:rRNA from 1 species
UACGAAGGGGGCUAGCGUUGCUCGGAAUUACUGGGCGUAAAGCGUGCGCAGGCGGUUUUGUAAGCCAGAUGUGAGAGCCCCGGGCUUAACCUGGGAAUGGCAUUUGGGACUGCAAGGCUUGAGUGCGGCAGAGGAGACUGGAAUUCCUGGUGUAGCAGUGAAAUGCGUAGAUAUCAGGAGGAACAUCGGUGGCGAAGGCGGCAUCCUGGACCGGUAUUGACGCUGAGGCGCGAAAGCCAGGGGAGCAAACGGG